rnacentral:rRNA from 1 species
UACGGAGGGUGCAAGCGUUGUCCGGAUUUAUUGGGUUUAAAGGGUACGUAGGCGGUUUAAUAAGUCAGUGGUGAAAGUUUGCAGCUCAACUGUAAAAGUGCCAUUGAUACUGUUAAACUUGAGUACUGUAGAGGCAGGCGGAAUUCCUCAUGUAGCGGUGAAAUGCAUAGAUAUGAGGAGGAACACCAAAAGCGAAGGCAGCUUGCUGGGCAGUAACUGACGCUGAGGUACGAAAGCGUGGGGAGCGAACAGG